rnacentral:rRNA from 1 species
UACGUAGGGUGCAAGCGUUACUCGGAAUUACUGGGCGUAAAGCGUGCGCAGGCGGCUUUACAAGACAGAUGUGAAAUCCCCGGGCUUAACCUGGGAACUGCAUUUGUGACUGCACGGCUGGAGUGCGGCAGAGGGGGAUGGAAUUCCGCGUGUAGCAGUGAAAUGCGUAGAUAUGCGGAGGAACACCGAUGGCGAAGGCAAUCCCCUGGGCCUGCACUGACGCUCAUGCACGAAAGCGUGGGGAGCAAACAGG